rnacentral:rRNA from 1 species
GACGGAGGGGGCAAGCGUUGUCCGGACUCACUGGGCGUAAAGGGUGCGUAGGCGGUUGUGUGCGUCGGCGCUGAAAUCACGAGGCUUAACUUCGUGGCGCGUGCCGAUACGACACGACUUGAGGCUCUGAGAGGGUGGCGGAACUCCUAGUGUAGUGGUGAAAUGCGUAGAGAUCAGGAAGAACACCCGUGGCGCAAGCGGCCACCUGGCAGAGUUCUGACGCUGAGGCACGAAAGCGUGGGGAGCGAACAGG